GACGAACGCUGGCGGCGUGCUUAACACAUGCAAGUCGAACGGAAAGGCCCUGCUUUUGUGGGGUGCUCGAGUGGCGAACGUGUGAGUAACACGUGAGUAACCUGCCCUUGACUUUGGGAUAACUUCAGGAAACUGGGGCUAAUACCGGAUAGGAGCGCCUGCUGCAUGGUGGGGGUGGGAAAGUUUCGGCGGUUGGGGAUGGACUCGCGGCUUAUCAGCUUGUUGGUGGGGUAGUGGCUUACCAAGGCUUUGACGGGUAGCCGGCCUGAGAGGGUGACCGGCCACAUUGGGACUGAGAUACGGCCCAGACUCCUACGGGAGGCAGCAGUGGGGAAUAUUGCACAAUGGGCGGAAGCCUGAUGCAGCAACGCCGCGUGCGGGAUGACGGCCUUCGGGUUGUAAACCGCUUUCGCCUGUGACGAAGCGUGAGUGACGGUAAUGGGUAAAGAAGCACCGGCUAACUACGUG
rnacentral:rRNA from 1 species